rnacentral:lncRNA from 1 species
GGGGAGGAGAAUUAUUGAUUCAAAGGACCUUAGAGCUCAAAAGGUCCUGAGAGACCAUCAUAACCACCCUCUUUAUUUUACAGAUACAGCUUCUGAGGAUCACGGGGAUGAAAGGCAUGAACUGGGCUCACACAGCUACUCCUUCCCAUUUAUGAGAGAGCCACAUGACAUCAGCCCAUAGACUGUGGAGAGUAUUCCAGAUCUAUCACAUUCUGCGAUUCUGCGAUUCCCAGAAGGCUGGUCAUGAAAAAAUUCCCUCUUCAGUUUACAUAUAUGGCAGUGGCACUUCUAGAUAUCUGUUGAGGCCUGGAAGGGGCAAAACAAUUCAGGAAGCAGUUGAAGAUAAAGGGGUUUACCAUGGAAGAGAAGAUCCAGGUGCCUUCAUGGAAAUGCUUGUGGUUGAAAAGAGAUGAAGAUGAGGGUCCCUGGAAAGAGGAAGAACCAGCCAGGAAAAUUAUACCAUUAGCAAGACUGGCAUCAGCAAGUAGUUCGCAGUGUUGGUUGUUCUUGGUUUCGCAGGAUUUUAUAGGAGAUGAGAAAACAAGGCAACAAGGUUAAGUGGCUUCCUGAAUUUUUCCUAUCGGGUCUGAGGCCUGCAGGAUGGGAGUCUGGCCCCCAGCAUGGCCUGCCUGGCAUGGCUCCCUCAGUUCUGCUCCCAGCUUCACAUGCUCCACUAAUUGGGGAUGGGUACCCCUGGUGUUCUUGAAAAUUAAUGAUAUUCAAAGCUACAAGAUGUAUCUGUUGUAGUCUAUGUUUGUUUACUUGUGGCAAUUAGUGACCAUCUGCUCUGGAGGUGAUGGUAUUAGGCCCUCUUUUGGAAAUAGUAACUUCUAGGAAGGAGACGCCCAGGCUAUUAGGGAAGGAGGGCUGACAAAUGAAUGGGGUCUCGGGUUCUCCAGAGGGUGGAGAGACUGCAUGUCAGACAUGUAAGGAAAAAAGCAAACUGAGUCAUUUAUUCUCUUCUCUUGUUGCCUCUCCUUUUUCUCUAUCUUCUGUCAUCAAAUCAUGGUUACUUGCCCAGAGUUUCUGUCAGGCCUUUGAGCCCAAGCUAAGCCAUCAUACCCCUGUGACCUACACGUUAUACAUCCAGAUGGCCUGAAGCAAUUGAAGAUCCACAAAAUAAGUGAAAAUAGCCUUAACGGAUGACAUUCCACCAUUGUGAUUUGUUUCCACCCCACCCUAACUGAUACAUAUAUUCUCCCCCACCCUUAAGAAGGUACUUCGGAAUGUUCUCUCCCGCUCUUAAGAAUGUGCUUUGUAUGCCUAUCCCAAACCUGUAAGAACUAAUGAUAAUCCCACCACCCUUUGCUGACUCUUUUUUUUGGACUCAGCCCAUCUGCACUCAGGUGAAAUAAACAGCCUUGUUACUCACACAAAGCCUGUUUGGUGGUCUCUUCACAUGGAUGUGCGUGACAUUUGGUGCCGUGACUAGGAUUGGGGGCCCUCCCUUGGGAGAUCAAUCCCCUGUCCUCCUGCUCUUUGCUCCAUGAGAAAGAUCCACCUACGACUUUGGGUCCUUAGACCAACCAGCCCAAGGAACAUCUCACCAAUUUUAAAUCGGGUAAGCAGCCUCUUUU